GCGUAACGCGUGGGAAUCUGGCCUUGGGUUCGGAAUAACUUCGGGAAACUGAAGCUAAUACCGGAUGAUGACGUAAGUCCAAAGAUUUAUCGCCCAGGGAUGAGCCCGCGUAGGAUUAGCUAGUUGGUGGGGUAAAGGCCUACCAAGGCGACGAUCCUUAGCUGGUCUGAGAGGAUGAUCAGCCACACUGGGACUGAGACACGGCCCAGACUCCUACGGGAGGCAGCAGUAGGGAAUAUUGGACAAUGGGCGAAAGCCUGAUCCAGCAAUGCCGCGUGAGUGAUGAAGGCCUUAGGGUUGUAA
rnacentral:rRNA from 1 species